rnacentral:misc_RNA from 1 species
GAAUGAUUCAGAAAUUGCAAUUGGUUCAACACUUUCAGUAGCAAUAACAGCAUGUGCAGAAGCAUUAAAAUUACAAAAUUUAUAUCCUAGACGAAAACCAUGUUUCCUAUAACAAGUGUCAAUAGUGUAUCUCCGUUUGCCAUAGUAUGUGCAAACCUUAACUGGUCCAGUAUAUUGACCUAUUCCAGUAUAAGGCAUAUUAUUUGAACCAAAUUGCACAUUGUUGGAAUUGAAAUAUUCUCUACCAUAAGAACUAGAACCACUAAAACCACUAUUUUUAGAACUGAUAGCUUUAUUCAAAAAAGCCUUAGAUUCUAUGCCAGGAUUAGACAUUUGUCUUUCUUGCUGAAUUACCUAGGAGAAAACCUUAGUAAUUGAAGGUAGAGGCUCCAUUAACAUAAUCUGAGAUUUAACACUUGCAAAUUAUUCAUUCAAUCCCUUCAAGAAUCUUAUCACAUUAUCACUCUUCACGUACUUUUGAACAGUUGAAAUUGCUCCACUAGAACAUGGUGUAACACAUGAACAAGAAGGAAUUGGAUGAAAAUUAACCAAUUCAUCCCAUUAAAUCUUCAAUUGAGUAAAAUAUUCUGUAACUGAAAGCUCACCUUUUUUGAGAUUAUAGAUCUCUUCCUGUAGAUCAAAGAUUCAAAUGAUAUCUUCUUGUGAAAACCUAUCUUUCAAAUCACUCCAUGCAUCCACUAUCUUAUCAAUCCAAAGUACACUCUGUGCAAUAGAGGGAGAAAGAGACCUUGUAAUCUAAGAAAUAACCAUUGUAUUGCACCUCUUCCAUGUAAAAGAUAUCGGAUCUAUCCUUAUAUGCGUAGGAAGAGAUCUAUCGAUAAAUUGCAG